GUGUGGUCGAGGGCCCUGUGUGGGUGCGGGCAUGUGAGUGUGUGUCGCUCGGCUCCACGCUCAUGCACACACCCACACACCCUCACCC
ensembl:miRNA